rnacentral:tRNA from 1 species
UUGAGUUGUAGCUAAAUUUUAAAGCACUCCACUUACGUUGGAGAGAUCACUGUUUGAAGUGCUACUUGAA